GGAGAAAACCUGUGAGAUCAACCUCACUCUGCUUUGAGGAAGCCUUUGACAACACUCGAAGAGUCACAAGGAAAUGAGAAUGGCAUUUUUGGUCCAUUGGCAGUCAUGGAGGAGUUUGGGAGUCGUGUCAGUGAUAUUGGCAAUGGUGUUCGGGGUUAUGUCAGAGCCGGUGGAGAGGGGAAGCCCUGCUCAUCUCCAAGGAAAAUGGGUGAACGACCUUGGUUCUGAAAUGACCAUAGACUCCAUAGAAGGUGCUACAAUCAAAGGUCGAUAUAAAACUAUUGUCGGAACAGGGGAGAUAAAGUAUGUUCCUUUGAUUGGGUUUGUAAACCCCAC